CCAGACAUAUGGAGGAUUGACAGACAGUUAACCAAAACGCAGCAGCUAGUUUAACAAAACUAACAGCUCUUUCAAGAUUAUGUGGUAGGUGGUGCAUGGCCGUUCUUAGUUCGUGAAGUGAUUCGUUCGCCCAAUCGCAUUUCCAAACAACUAACAACUCAGAAUGCUGGGCAAUAGGACGUUUAAAGUGGCUCCUUACACCUUACAAAGGAAUGGCUGAUGAGAAACAACUCGAUCCGCUCAGCGUUCUAUUGGAAUGCAACGGACGUGAUUGCAAGCUUUUGUUUUGAGUUGCGGUUUUACUGAAAGACUCUACAAUCCGCAAACUUCAAUGAUCUGAAGUAGAAAACCUACAUGCUACAGUGAGAUAUUGUGGAUAAACUUAAGCGACCGCUCCAACAUUGUGUUUUUUUAAAACUGAUGAAGGUUGCGGCAAUAACAG
rnacentral:rRNA from 1 species